GGGAGUAGCUCAGCUGGUAGAGCAUUAGCCUUCCAAGCUAAGGGUCGCGAGUUCGAAUCUCGUCUCCC
rnacentral:tRNA from 1 species